AACGAACGCUGGCGGCAUGCCUAACACAUGCAAGUCGAACGAGACCUUCGGGUCUAGUGGCGCACGGGUGCGUAACGCGUGGGAAUCUGCCCUUGGGUUCGGAAUAACAGUUGGAAACGACUGCUAAUACCGGAUGAUGACGUAAGUCCAAAGAUUUAUCGCCCAAGGAUGAGCCCGCGAAGGAUUAGCUAGUUGGUGAGGUAAAGGCUCACCAAGGCGACGAUCCUUAGCUGGUCUGAGAGGAUGAUCAGCCACACUGGGACUGAGACACGGCCCAGACUCCUACGGGAGGCAGCAGUGGGGAAUAUUGGACAAUGGGCGAAAGCCUGAUCCAGCAAUGCCGCGUGAGUGAUGAAGGCCUUAGGGUUGUAAAGCUCUUUUACCCGGGAUGAUAAUGACAGUACCGGGAGAUUAAGCUCCGGCUAACUCCGUG
rnacentral:rRNA from 1 species